AGUGAACGCUGGCGGUAGGCCUAACACAUGCAAGUCGAACGGCAGCACAGUAAGAGCUUGCUCUUACGGGUGGCGAGUGGCGGACGGGUGAGGAAUACAUCGGAAUCUACUUUUUCGUGGGGGAUAACGUAGGGAAACUUACGCUAAUACCGCAUACGACCUACGGGUGAAAGCAGGGGAUCUUCGGACCUUGCGCGAUUGAAUGAGCCGAUGUCGGAUUAGCUAGUUGGCGGGGUAAAGGCCCACCAAGGCGACGAUCCGUAGCUGGUCUGAGAGGAUGAUCAGCCACACUGGAACUGAGACACGCUCCAGACUCCUACGGGAGGCAGCAGUGUGGAAUAUUGGACAAUGGGCGCAAGCCUGAUCCAGCCAUACCGCGUGGGUGAAGAAGGCCUUCGGGUUGUAAAGCCCUUUUGUUGGGAAAGAAAAGCAGCAGGUUAAUACCCCGCUGUUCUGACGGUACCCAAAGAAUAAGCACCGGCUAACUUCGUG
rnacentral:rRNA from 1 species